rnacentral:rRNA from 1 species
UACGAAGGGUGCAAGCGUUAAUCGGAAUUACUGGGCGUAAAGGGUGCGUAGGCGGUUGUUUAAGUCUGUCGUGAAAUCCCCGGGCUCAACCUGGGAAUGGCGAUGGAUACUGGGCAGCUAGAGUGUGUCAGAGGAUGGUGGAAUUCCCGGUGUAGCGGUGAAAUGCGUAGAGAUCGGGAGGAACAUCAGUGGCGAAGGCGGCCAUCUGGGACAACACUGACGCUGAAGCACGAAAGCUAGGGGAGCAAACAGG